rnacentral:rRNA from 1 species
GUAGGGGGCAAGCGUUGUCCGGAUUUAUUGGGCGUAAAGAGCGUGUAGGCGGCCAGACAGGUCCGUUGUGAAAACUCGAGGCUCAACCUCGAGACGCCGAUGGAAACCGUCUGGCUAGAGUCCGGAAGAGGAGAGUGGAAUUCCCGGUGUAGCGGUGAAAUGCGCAGAUAUCGGGAAGAACACCCGUGGCUAAGGCGGCUCCCUAGUACGGUACUGACGCUGAGACGCGAAAGCGUGGGGAGCGAACAGGAUUAGAUACCCUGGUAGUCCACGCCGUAAACGAUGGGUGCUAGGUGUGGGGGGUGUCGACUCCCUCCGUGCCGAAGCUAACGCAUUAAGCACCCCGCCUGGGGAGUACGGCCGCAAGGCUA